CCUGGUGGUGGUGGAAGGUAUGAGGAAGAAGAUGGCUACAAGAAGAAGCCAAGCAGCGGUGGCUAUGGAGGAGGAAAGUACGAGGAUGAAGAUGACUACAGGAAGAAGCCAAGCAGUGGUGGCUAUGGUGGGGGAAGGUACGAGGAUGAAGACGAUUACAAGAAGAAGCCCACAAGUGGUGGCUAUGGUGGGGGGAGAUAUGAGCAAGAAGAUGAUUACAAGAAGAAGCCUACAAGUGGCGGCUAUGGUGGCGGGAGGUAUGAGCAGCAGGAUGAAUAUAAGAGGCCUCCUAGCGGUGGUGGCAGUAGCUAUGGGGGAGGCAGGUAUGAAGAAGAUGAUGAGUAUAGGAAGAAGCCGAGUGGGAGCUAUGGUGGAGGAAGGUAUGAGGACGAAGAUGAUUAUAGGAAGAAACCUAGUGCUGGUCAUGGUGGAGGGAGGUAUGAGGAAGAUGAUGAGUACAAGAAGCCCAGUGGUGGCGGAUAUGGUUAUGGGGCUUCCAGUGGUGGAGGCCAUGGAGGAAGGUACGAAGAAGAGGACUACAAGAAGAAGCCUAGUGGACACUCAGGGGGAUGCUAUGAGGAAGAGGAGGGGUACAAGAAGGCUAGUGGUCAUAGUGGAGGGAAGUAUGGCAAGGAGGAAGAUGACAAGAAGAAGAAGCAUGGUGAGGAUGAGUCAGAGGGUGGCGGUAUUGGUGAUUACCUGAAGUUGGCACAGGGUUUCAUGAAGAAACAGGAUGGGGAAGGGGAGAGUGGGGGCGGCAUGGGAGACUACUUAAAGCUUGCUGAAGGUUUCUUGAAGAAGCGCUGAUUAAUCUUCCAUGUCAUGUUUCAGGAAGGACUUGUUGUGUUUGGUUAGUCCUGUUUAUUGUCACCAAGUAGUGAAAUUUUCAAGGUUUCCAUCAUAGGAUGUAAUACAAGUGCAUUGCUCAUACUGUCUGUGUGUGGUGACAUGAAUGCUUAAUGUGCUGCUUACGCUGCUGGGGUAAUAAAAGCUUUGAUGCUCUGCUAUUCAUGUUGUAUAUUAGUUCUGACUAAAAUAAUAUGUAUCCUAUGUUAUUGUGCUUACAAUAAGUGAAACUUUUGAAUACGUUUUCAUUCAUUAUCUACUGUUGUUACGGUCCUAUUGUUGGAGAUGUGUUGGUUCUUGAUCUUAUCAUACUGAGUACUAAUGCAUGGAUGUACAUCUUUUCCUGAACUUGAUUUUAGUUUUGUUAAACCUGAGACAAUGAAACUAAUCAACCAUGUUUAUUUCAACUUGGUGGUGGUGGUUCUAGGCAUAUACAUCCUUGCAAAAUGGCCUCUGAAUGAAUAGUUUGAACUUAUUAUGGUGCUUGGCUACUAACCAUCGAGGCAUCUUGCUGAACUAACUUCUCCUUUGUUGGGCUAGUUCUUAUCUCUAAGUAGGUCUGCUGGUUAUGUCACAUAUUGAUAGUUCUUCGUAUCUGUGUACUCUUAAGUGGUAAAUAAUUUGACACAAAUAAUUUAGUAUCUAAAUCAAAUUAAUGUCCUGGAAGUAAACAAUAGGUCAUAUGGACGAGAGGCUAAGAGGAUUGUUGAAUUUGAACCAAAGGUGGUUUUAUGUCAUCGGUUUCAGGCAGUGUCAGAAUUAUCAGUAUCUCGCCGUUCCUGAUUCCAUAGUUGAAAAGACACAAGUGCACAGCUCAAUGGAAUAUUUCUGCAAGGGCACCCUUUUCAGCUGCUUGUUUAUUCAAUCAAACAGUUUAUCUGCUCCUCUUUGUAUGACCUCUCAGGCUCUCAAUACCUUGCACUCAUUUAUUUUAUUUUAUUUUAUUUAAUAAAACCGUAGGACUCUUUAAGUGAUUGAACAACUAUGGCUCUGGACUUUAUGUAUCUUUUCAACCCAGCGGCUUUUAAUCUCCUAUCACUCAUUCAGACUCUUCCAUCUUUCUGAACCAUUCAGACUCUCCUUUUUUCUGAACUAUGAAAUGGUUGUCGGGUGCACUACCCCGAUCAGUUUCACUCAUGAUGAAAAAGUUUUUCUUAUUACUUAUGAUGACAAGGUUCAUGGGAUUGAAACAGCCAAACAACCAAGAUAUUACUUCUAGCAUAUACAGCUCUGCAUCAGUCCAGCAAGUUUAUGAGAAAGAUGAUUGACAUAAUUGUAUGGUUUUUUUGGUAAUUGAUCUGGAAAGCAGUCGCACUUCAAUGUGAAAGGAAGCUCCCCACACAGCCGUUCUUGAAGCAAGGUCAACAUGCUGGCAGCCCAGGUGAAAAAACGCUCAGAUUAUUUCCUCAAUCGAUGGGGUACGGGUUUGAUUCUUAUAUAUAUCUGCAAAUACUGUAUUUGUAUUAACUCAGCUAAAGUGGUUGCUUGGUUAUGUAUCUUCUUUGGUUAAUAAAAUUGAUGUGGCGGAUGGAAUUCAGUACUGAGUAUUACAAUGUAACUUCCAGAAGAUAUUCUUCUUCUCUAAUGUAAGCGCUGUAGAUGAUGAUCUUCUGAUGUAAUCUGUUUGUUUGAAGAUGAUCUUCCACUGUUUUCUCUUUACUAGGAGGUCUGCCAGAAGUUCAUUAAUGUCGUCUGUUGGGAUGCAAGUGCUGUUUUUGUUAGACCAUUGAACUAGUACAAGCAUGCAUGUAGGAUGAGAUGAAUUAGUAAAUUUUGUGCUUAAUGGAAAAAUUAUUGGUCUUAGCUAUAUGUAUUUUGCCCGGUUCUCUUUGGCAGUAAAGGCGCCAUUUUGGUCUACACUAUUCUUUACAAAUAACAUACUGAUGUGCAAAUAUUUCAUUAAAACGAUUUUAUUGAUUAGGGCGGUGCUCCAUCCCGCUUGCACACCACGGUGAAAGGGAGGAAGAGGAAGAGGAAGAGGGGGGAAAGUGGGUGCGGGAGAAGGAAGACGGAACUCAGUCCUCUAGUCAUGAAUCCUAGCUCCGUUUACAAGUAAAGUAACAUACUGCUUGUCACCUCUCAGUUUCGAUAUGCUUUGUGGCACUGACCAAGUAUCCUAAGCCUCCUUUCAAUGCCUCAAGGUCAUCCUCGUCGUCAUUGACCUCUGCGAUGUUGAACCGGCCAUCGCUGCCUCUCAAUUUCGAUGUUGAACCGGUCAUUGAUGGCAGCCAUCUGCUGCGACACCCCGUCCCGCGUCGGCGCCCGGACCAUUUGGAUGGUGGCCGCGGCGAAGACGAGCCACGCCAGCGAGAUGGACGCGUGCUCCAAGUUGUGCAGGUGGACGCUGGGGAUAGUCCCGUCGUCGUCCAACGGCUGGUGCUUCGACUGCACGAUGACGAGCUCCAUCGAGAUGGAUGGAGAUCACCGAACCCAUCAUUAUCGUUAUGAGCUCGAUGUGACGGACGCCCGGCACCGGGAACCACACCGGAGCCACGUAGGAGCUCCGCUGUAGCAGCAAGAACAGGCGGGUGUGGCCGAACAGACAGGGGCGAAGCUACUUACCCUGUGUUUGGUUGGGGGUUGGGUGGGUUGGGUUGAAUCCAACCCAGUUUUUGGGGACGGAACCAACCCAUCCAGUGUUUGGUUGCACUUCUUUUUUUGGAGACGGAGCCAACCUAUUUUAGUGUUUGGUUGAAGAAUUGGAGACAGAGCGGCUCCGUUCAGUGUUUGGUUGAAGGAAUUUAGUGUUUGGUGGGAGCCAACCCGGAUGGAGCGGCUCCGUCCGCCAGAUUUUGACGGACGAGUCCAACCCGCAUCUGAGAGGAAUAUUCCACUCUGGAGCCAACCCAACCCUUCCAUCCUCCAACCAAACAGCCACAAGAACGGGUUCGCUCCGACCCGGCUCGCCCCGCUCUCCAACCAAACACACGGUUAGUAGCUUGUGGGUGUCCAGGCACCCAUAAAAUUUUGAAAAACCACUACUAGAAACACAUUUUUCUCAUGGUUGUGGAUUAAAUUUUUGCACAUAUAAAAGAGAAGCACACCCAUCUAAUUCGUUCUAGCUUCGCCUCUGCGAACAGAUGCCACUGGCUGAUGAUGAUGAAGAAGGCGCCCGGUGCAACGUGCCCGCCAAGCGUGCCCAUGGCCUCCUCUCUGUAGCUUUUGCGUGGAGCAGUGGAGAGAAGAAGAGGAGGCAAGCCAAGUGUUGUCGCUGUGGGCUCGUUGCGUGUGGAGAGCGAGCUAGUGUGUGCGACCUUUGGAACGCGACCGGCCUGAGGUAUGACCUCCACUAGCUUUUUUUUAGGAACAUGACCUCCACUAGAUGGACCCUAUCGUUUUAUACAUUGCCCUCAUGGCCGCUGUGGGCCGCUCACCUGCAAUUUUGCCGCAGCCUGUCACGACGAGAUGUCCGAGGAGCCUCAUUUUUUUUUGAAUUUGACCCCAUUUUUUUAAAAAAAAUUAACAUUUAGACAUCUGGAUAACGUAAACCUAACUUUGAACCUAGAGGAUGGAUGCCAUUACUCAAGGCAUCAAGGUUACAUCUCGAAGCCAUAACUCACGGAGUCCAGCUCCAUGGCCCAACCGCACGUGGCUGCUGACAUGACAAAGAAAAGACGUCGAUGCCAUAGAUCACGGUGUCGAGUUCGACGCCACAUAUCACAGCGUCGAGCCCUUGCUUCUGUAUAGUGCACCCACCGGUCGGCGAGCCAUCGGGCCCCGCCCGUGGGGGCGGUGCCCCUUUCUUGUUGGUCGUCCAAGACGAGGCGACGCCCACUGCCUGCUGCCCCUCUUGAAUCCCCUCGACCGGCAGUGAGCAAUUGCACAGGUAUUUUUUUUUACCAAUUUCAUGCUUUAGUUGUCAAUAGUUUAGAUAGUAUAGGUAGGUUUUUAAGAUUAGUAAUAAUGUAUCUAAGACUAUAAAAUACAUCUAAUAGGUCAAAUCAAUGCGUUGAAAAGGAAGAGGGGAGAGAGUAUAUCUGAAGAUCUAUGGAUCAAAUCAAAGUUUUUAGUUGGGUGGGUUUGGGAGAGGAAGAACCUAGGAGGGAUGAAGAACAAACGAAACAUGUUGGGUUAGGAAAAGAUGGACGUUGAUUUUGAAUCCAGGCUUGACGCCGUGAUUUGUGGCGUCGAGCUCAACGUCGUGAUCUAUGGCAUCGAGCUUUCUGCCAUGUCAGUAGCCACAUGCGGUUGGAGAGCUCGACGUCGUGAGUCAUGGCAUCGAUGCGUGUAACCUUGACGCCACAAGUAAUGGCGUCGACCCCUUGGGUCCAAAGUUGGGUUGUGUUGUCAGGGAGGUCUAAAUGUUAAAUUUCUUUUAAAAAGGGUUAAAUUCAAAAAAAUGGACAAGGUUAAAAAGCAUGGCGCCAGCCUAUUGGAAUAGUGUUCUCUAAUUUUAAUAAUAACUGAGUUUAAGUUAUUUUUGUUGUUAGCUUGUUAAAAUGAAGCAAAAAAAUGUAGUAUUAAGGGAUUCAACCUAGGUGCUUGAGGUAAGAUGUUGACUUCCUAACCAGUUGGACAACAAUAAAGUUGUGUCAAGUAGUCUGGAACAACAGUGCUUGUUCUAACAGUUUGGUGUCAAUAGCAACGGUGUCAAGCUUGACGCCAAUAAUAACGACGUCAUAAUGGAUGCCACAUCAGCUCCACGCAUACAUUAGUGCAACAAUCUUAGAGCAAGUUUAAUAAUAUAGCUCAUUUGCUGGCUGUAAGAUUCUUUGCAGUCUUCUCCCAGCCCAUUCAUACAAUAGUUAAUUAUUCACUAUUGACACAUGGCUCACUUAACUCUCUUACAAAGUUUCUUGGUUCUUGUGUCUAAGCUGGCUGUAAGCUUACAACCUGCUUCUCCUCUCUCUCUUCCUUUCUCUUCUCCACAUCAGCAUUUAGCCCAUUAUAAUAUUUACUCUUAGUGCCAAUAGGGCCGGUAUUAUGCGGUGUAACCUUGGUGCCAAUGGUAAUAGCGCCAAAAAGACAGUAACCUUGGUGUCAACAAUGAUGAUGCUAAGCUAAGGGUCUAUUUUUUAAAAACACAUAUUUAAAAGAAUCUUUGAAAAAAUAGCUAAAAAUAAAAAGACGGCCAACCAACGCUAGUUCGACCACCAAGACCCAUACUUACUUUAAAAAUCUAAAUAAAGCACCAAAUAUUUUGGAGUCAAAUUAACCCAAUUACUUUUCGAGGACCAGCCAUGCCAUACUAGGGCCUUGUUUAGUUCCAAAAAUUUUCAAAGAAUCUUGCGACACAUGCAUGAUGCAUUAAAUAUACAUAAAAACAAAAAUUAAUUACAUAGCCGUAAAUCGCGAGACGAAUAUUUUAAACCUAGUUACUCUAUAAUUGAAUAAUGUUUAUCAAAUAAAAAAAUUUGGAAACUAAACAAGGCCUAGAUACGACGCCUAAAUAUGGUCGAGCAUGACAGCGCUAUCUUCCAAAUAUUCUACGAUGGAUUCUUCUAAUUAAGGCUUUAUUUAGUUAACAAAAAGCAAUUAAUGUCUAAUUAUAGACUAAUUAGACUUAAUAGAUUUGUCUCACAAAAUACAUGCAAACUAUGCAAUUAGUUAUUUUUUUAUCUAUAUUUAAUGAUCCAUGUAUAUAUCCAAAUAUUCGAUGAGAUGGGGUAAAAAGUUUUUGGGUGAAACUAAACAAGGCCUAAAAAAGUUAUGAAUUUUUAGUUGCAUGGCCGAAAACAAACUCGGGCAAUAACUGGAUAGCCAAAACUUAAGCCCAGUGCAUAUAUUAUCUAGAAUUACCUGUUGGAACAAACUAUGCAACCCAGCCACCAACCAACUACAUGCAAUGCGAUACCAUAUAUAUAUCGAAAUAAAACAGGAAGACAUGAAUUCUAGGAGCAACCAAUGCAGAACCAGGACACAUGCUAAAUGUUCACAUUACUGAAACAUCACACAUGUGAAGGUCUCGUCAGAUAACAUGCACGGGUGGUCUUCUGCCAGGCAGAACAGAUCCAUAUGCUUCCAAUAUACAAAUCUACCAAAUCACAGGUCACAGCACAUCAAUCGCCGAUCACAUGAGACCCAAAAAAUGCUAUGAAUGAAUGAUACUACGGAAUACGGAUAAGGCAAACCAAUCGAGCUCAGAACUCCUCAACAGAGACGGCUUCGCGAGGGACCUCAUAAGCAUCCUUCUGCCUCAGCUUCUUCACACCGGCGAUGAAGCAUAUCUUGUCAGACUUGUAGCUCUCGAGGCUCACGCUUGCCACCUUCACCCAUACCACCACCUUGGUCUUCAUGCCUUCAACCCCGGAGAGCUUGCCUCGGGACAGAGUCGCUUUGACACGAGGAGCAUACCGUAUUGUGGAGGAAUCCUUGAAGCUCACCUCGCAGGGUUUGGACAGGUGCACCACCAGCUUCGAGGUUGAUUCGUCGUACUCAUAGCAGAUGAUGUUACGAGGGAAGAGACCUGGAGGGAGGUUGUGCUCACGGAGUAGAUCAGAGAGCGACUUCUUGUGUCCUGGGCAGAAGAAACUGAUGUCAGUGCAUAUUUUUGAAAUAUCAAUUAUACAACUGCGCAAAGGUGCUACGGUAUGAGGUUAACAAAGAGAUAAACGAACAUAAUUCAGAAUCAGAAAGUGUUGAGUUUUGAAGGAAAGUCUAACUUCAUGGAGCAAUUUUGACUUAGAAUUUCAAAAAAUAUAGCAACUGAAAUUUAUGACGCUACAGAGAAUAAAAGAUAUCUACAAUAUUUCAAUUAUUUAUCAUAUAGACCAGCCCAACUUGCUUUGGGACUAAAAUGUUUUUAUUGUUAUUGUUCAAUUGUUCAUCACAGAAAUUGCAAUCAGACAAAUAAGAUAACUGUGAUCCACCAAUAAAUCAGGAGGAAGACAUCAAAGAGUAAUUAGACAUAGUAUCCACUAACAAUUGAAAUGGAUAUAUAUAGAUUAUGAACAUAUUAUUGACAAGACCUGUAUUUGGCAAAAGGAAAAGUACACGAAAAAAGUGAGGAACCCAGUUUGCAAAGCAGUUUAUUCAGAACAAAGGUAUCCUGUACUGAAAGCUUUGACAGGAGUUAAGCUGACCAGCUACAUUAUCAAUUGCUUUUGUCCUUCUGGCCACAACAAAUUAGAUGCUGCUUAGAAGCAAGUGUGCUAUGACAAACAAUGGGCAUUGCAGUACAGGCUGGCAAAUCAAGCAGCUAGUUGGUGCUUCCUACUACCAGGACAUACACUGCACAGUCUUGCUAAUACCGCCGAAGACAUGAGGAGGACCAACGCCAAGAUUGCACGUAAAACAAGCUGUUAGGUGAGCAAGUCCCCAAUCCAUUGCUCCUCUAUGGACUUCUGAAUAAUGGCAUCAACGAAAAACUGGGACUUUAUCUUAAAAAAAAACAUGGGCCAGAUGCCAACCAAUGCAGAGCAGCAGGAUGUCACAAAAGUCAUUUCAGUUUGGCCCCCAUGUGCACUACUUUGCAGAUCAAAAGGGUACAGGAAAUCCAAGAAAAGCUAGAUCCAAUCAGAGGAAAGGCUAGGAAUCAGGCAGCCAGUACAUAUAAUCAUAUUAAAUAAAGCUCUCUUUCCCGCAUUGCUUUGGUUUUACGCAUGAGGCAAAGAAAAGCUAACCGCAAUGGAUAAUUGCACUGAUGAUGUUGCCAAAACAACCUAACAUGCAACUAGAAGGUUCUAAUUCAUCAUCUACAUCUCUUCAGAGUCACUCUCAUUUUCACAGCCCAUCAUGUACAUCUCUUCAGAGUCACUCUCAUUUUAACAGCCACAAAACCAACCAUGGAAUGGAACAGAACUGUACCUUUGAGCUUCUCGAAAACCCAUUUUGCCUUCUCCUCCACCGUGCUCGAUAAACGCUGCAGGUAAGAUCAAAGGCUGUCAGUUUGGUCAUACUGCUGAACUUAACGGCUUUCAUCUAAAGUUGAAAUUGAUCUACUAUAUCGUCGCCCCAGUUCAAUCAAAGAGGGAUUUUUCCUUUACCACUCUACUAGUACUUGCUAUGAGUAAAACACGAUGGGGGUGAAUUUAGUGCAGCCUCAUCAAGGAGGGAAAAUGUGCAAACGAGAAUAAUCCACUAAAAUAGAUGCUCGAAGAAGUUGAAUCAUCAGAGGUUCAGAGCAGUGACAAGAACCAGAAGGAAAAGAAAGGACUUCACAUUAGCACAACCAUGAGCCAUGCAAUGCAACAGGUAGUAUUUCUAAUCUCAUCAACUUCCCCAGGACGGCAGGACCGGAUAAAAUAAAGAUUGAAAGCAGCGGAUCCAACGCAAUGCCCGUGACCGGGAGGCUGGAGCAACCGCUUGCGCCGAAAGGCGAGACGGAAAAGGAGAGAUGGCGGCGACGGUGAGCACUCACGGAGAUGUCGCCGCCGAUGGCGGAGAGCUCCUGCUUGGCCUUGCGGGAGAUGGUGAAGCUGCCGAGCUUGGUGAGCGCCUUCUCCAUCCUCCCUCCGGACGCGCGGCCGCUCCGCUAAACUUGCUGGUUCUCUCUUCUCUGCGCCGCUCGGCCGCUCUUCUGGUGGUGGUGGGGUGCCGCAAGAUGGGCGACAGAAGAACCAGGUUCAAAGAUGCGGCGCUCGGCCCGGCGGACCCCGAUAAAUAGGCAACGGCACGCGGAUCGAGAGGGUCGUGGGCCUGCGGCGCCGGAUCCUUUGCGACAGUGAGGCCUGCUUCCAUAUUUGCUGCCGUAAACCUGGUCCUUUUUUUCUCUCUCACUUUUUUCUUUAUUUUUUGGGGGCUGACUGGAUAAUGAUGCCAGUUUCCAUUUGACAGCAACAGCAAGCGUGCGAUUUGUUGUCGUUGCCAUAAUUCAAGCAGGUUUCCGUCUAUGCGAAAUUCUCAGAAAGAAUCAUCCACAUCUAUGAUCUAUCUACUACUCGCUCAAAUUCGAGAGCGUUCGUUAUUCAAAAGUCGAAUUUGACAAAAGUAUAAGGCCUUGUUUAGUUCACCCUGGAAACCAAAAAGUUUUCAAGAUUUCCCGUCACAUCGAAUCUUGUGGCACAUGCAUGAAACAUUAAAUAUAGACGAAAAUAAAAACUAAUUACACAGUUUAGCUGGAAAUCACGAGACGAAUCUUUUGAUCCUAAUUAGUCUAUAAUUGGAUAAUAUUUGUCACAAACAAACGAAAGUGCUACAGUUCCGAAAAGUUUUCACUUUUCGGAACUAAACAAGGCCUAAGUAUUGGUGCGGUGGAUGCGUGGACAGUUUUUUCUUUCACCGGCCACCGUGAGAGCCGGAGGGUGGACGUUGUUGGUGCAAUGCGGCAGGAGCGGGGCCGUUGGUGCCAGCGCUCGUGCCUGCGUGACCGAGUUCUUGUCACGGGAGGACGAGCGAGGACGCACCGCGCGGCGCGGAGCCGAUCGUUCCUCUGAAGCGGCCGCGGGAACGGAAUCCAUCAAGCUGGAGCAGCACACGGAGUAUACCAAACAUAAAAAAAAAAAAAAAACUUAUGCAAAUGUGAUAGGCCAGCCAGCAGCCUGCAGCCUACAUCCUCUAGCUUACUUUUCAGCACAUCGGUUUCGAGCCAGGCAUUCUUCCUUGUCCGGUGUAAUGCACGGCUCACGGCUGUCCUACAAAAAAAAACGUUAUCUACCCGUUUGUAGAUUGUGACUCGUCAACCAGGCCGUGUGGCUCUUCUAGCUUUUUUUUUUUUUUUUUUGAUCGGAGCGUUUGCACAAGCUACUCACAGGACGCACGUCGCACCCUGAGAACCUCGGCGGCUGGGCUUAAGCUACCUUGGGCCGAUCCGCAAGCCCGCGAGCUCUAUCUUACCCAGACGGCCCACUUCUGGACGCCACGCUGGUUGGCCCGCCAGCUCGCCUCCUCGCCCGCACUAUGUGGGCUUGCGGCGUGGGUCUGCGGCUCGUCCCGCGCUGCUUUGCCUGCCGGUUGCAGCCGCAGGGCGCUUCUUCGUUUCUUCCACCCUUCCGCCGCCACCGCCGCCGCCGCACCCGUUCCUGCUCCCUUCGAGUGGAGAUGGCGCUCUACCGUCGUAUCCUGCUCCUCCGCCGCCUCUCCCACCUCCACCCCUCGCCAGCCCCCGCCAUCUGCUCCUCACCCCCACCCACCCUUGCGGGGCUCCUCACCCCGACGGGGCGCCGCCACUUCGCCUUCUCCUCCGCCGAGGAAGCCGCCGCCGAACGCCGCCGCCGCAAGCGCCGCCUCCGCAUCGAGCCUCCAAUCAACGCGCUCCGCCGUUCCCCGCCUCCCCCGCGGGACCCCAACGCGCCCCGCCUCCCGGACACUACGUCCGCGCUCGUCGGCCCGCGCCUCAGCCUCCACAACCGCGUCCAGUCCCUCAUCCGCUCGGGUGAUCUCGACGGCGCCUCCGUCGUCGCCCGCGCCGCCGUCUCCUCCCGCGUCCGGCCCACCGUCUUCACCUGCAACGCCGUGGCCGCGGCCAUGGUCCGCGCCGCCCGCCACGAUGACGCCGUCGCGCUCUUCGAAUUCUUCUUCCGCCGCUCCAACAUCGUCCCCAACAUCGUCUCCUACAACACCCUCAUCCUCGCGCACUGCGAGGCCUGCCGCGUCGACACCGCGAUGCAGGUGUACCACGACAUGCUCGCGUCUGCGCCCUUCUCCCCCUCUGCCGUCACCUACCGCCACCUCACCAAGGGUCUUGUCGCUGCCGGCCGCAUCCGUGACGCGCUCGAUCUCCUCCGAGAGAUGCUCUCCCGCAACGCUGGCGCCGACUCCCUCGUCUACAACAACCUCAUCGCUGGAUACAUCGACCUCGGCGACUGGGACAAGGCCUUCGAGCUCUUCAACGAGCUCGCAGAGAGGUGCCUUGUCUACGACGGUGUCGUCCACACCACCUUCAUGGAGGGCUACUGGAAACAGGGCAAGGACAAGGAGGCCAUGGACAACUACCAGUCCCUUCUUGAUCGGGGCUUUAAGAUGACGCCAGCCACCUGCAACGUCCUGCUUGAGACACUCUUCAAGCACGGCAAGCACAAGGAGGCCAACGAACUAUGGGAAACCAUGAUCGACAACCACAGCCCGCCAAGCUUCAUCGGCAUCAACGCCGAGUCCUACAACGUCAUGGUUAACCAGUGCUUCAGGGAGGGCAAGUUCAAGGAGGCGAUUGAGGUCUUCCACCGCCAGCCGAGGAAGAACGUCCAGAUGGACGUUGGUUGCUUCAACAACAUCAUUGGCAAGCUCUGUGAGAAUGGGAUGCUAGCUGAGGCAGAAAAGCUCUUUGAGGAAAUGGAGACGAAGUCUGUCCUUCCAGAUGUGUACACCUACACUUACCUUGUUGACUCGUGCUUCAAGGAAGGCCGUGUGGAAGAUACAAUGCAGUAUUUCUACAAAAUGGCAGAUGGGAGGGAGCAUGGGCCAAAGUUCAAUAUUGGUUUCUUCAACCGCAUGUUUGAAGGACUUACAGAAGCUGGCCAGAUUGAUGAUGCCUUGAAGGUGUAUGGGAGGAUGCCUGACAAGGAGAUCAAGCCAAACACGAUCACUUUUGAAAUCCUUGUCAAAGCCUUAUGCAAAGAAGGGAACUUGGAUCAAGCGAGGGACCUAGUGAUGGACAUGGCAAGGAAUGGUAUUGUGCCUCCUCCAGAGUUCCGUGAGUCUGUUGUUGACUUUUUCAAGAAGGCUGAUCGACAGGAAGAAAUUGAGAAAGCUUUUGAAGAAAAACCUAUGCCAACACCUCAGCCAAGGACAGAGUAUCAGUUGAGGAAUGAGUAUCGCUCUCGCAAUGCAGUUGGUGCUGGUCAAGCAAAACAACCUGGCUUUAGCUCUACUCCAGCGGUGGAGCCUGGAUUUGUUUACUCUCAGCCACGACAGUCAACGUUUAGUAACAAUCAGAAUCAGCAGCCUGAGUUUGGCUCAUCUCAUUCAUGGAGUCCAGGUUUUGGUGCUCCUCAAGCACAUGGAUAUGGUGCAUCUCAGCCUGUACAAGCUGUAGUUGGUUCGUCUUACUCUCAACCACAACAGUCAAAAUUUAGUAACAAUCAAAAUCAGCGGCCUGAGUUUGGCUCAUCUCAUUCAUAUAAUUCAGACUUUGGUGCUCCUCAAGCACAGGCUGGAUAUGGUGCACCUCAGCCUGUACAGGCUGUAGCUGGUUCGUCAUACUCUCAACCACAACAGUCAACAUUUAGUAACAAUCAAAAUCAGCGGCCUGAGUUUGGCUCAUCUCAUUCUUAUAAUUCCGACUUCGGUGCUCCUCAAGCACAGCCUGGAUAUGGUGCACCUCAGCCUGUACAGGCUGUAGCUGGUUCGUCUCAGCUACGACAGUCACAGUUUGGUGCUUCUCAGGGUGUACCAGCAUAUAGUAACAUAGGAAAUCAGCAUGGUCAGUUUGGCUCUCCACAUGGAGAAUCAAAAUUUAGCAACCAUCCACCACAAGUUGGGUAUGGUGCCCAGUUGCCUCAGUCAGGGUAUCGCUUUGAGCCCCAACAAGAACAGGCCGGAUUUGGGAAUCGAGGAGCGCUGCCUGCAUAUGUGGCUUCAAGCCAACCCUCAUAUGGUACCCGCUGGAGCUCAAGUGGUUAUGGAUCAACCCAGGGGCAACUGGGAUACAGUGGCCCUCAAGCGCAGUCACAUGAAUCUCAGUUACCACAUCACCAGGCAAGUUUUGGCAUGCCACAUGUCCAACAUAACAAUGACUUCUAUAAAUACAACCCUGGAUACAGGCCAUCUAAUGGUCUGCAGGGAUUUGAUGCUACCCAUGGUGAUUCUGAAACUGCUUCAUCUAAAGACCAUCAAGAGACUACCCCUCCUGAAGAUGGGCAACAAGUAGCAUUUAUGAAAGCAUGAGGACUGCAUACAUAUUUUGGCUUCAAGACAAAAAGGAUUUUCAGACAUAAAAUGAAUUAGUCUCUUUAGAUAUGAUGAAGAUUUUAAUGGAUAGAUGUGAAUCAGGCUCCCAUGUUGUUCCCAUAGUCCUCACUGCUGUACCGUUUAACUGAAUUCAUCUGAUGUUUCUCAGGAUUAAGGAACACUUUUUACUGUUUGUUUAAAUUCGAACUUUUAGUCAGCAUGCUUGGUGCAUUUGGAAGUAUAUGGUAUUGCUAAUCUAUUUUUUAUUUACAGGUAUUGAUCUAUGUAGGAUUCUAAUUUUUAUUUAAAUAUAUUGACAAUCUAUCGGUUCUUACAAAGACUCGUCCUUCAAUUUGUGUACAGCAGAAUUGAUAUGUUUGUAUCGAAGUAAAGAUGGGUAUCUAGAUUUAUUUUUUGAUGUUGUGGCAACUAUAACUAGAUGUCCCAAAUAACAGGUUGAUUUUGUUGCAAUGGAUGUUUUCUUUUGAUCGAAAUUGAGAUGGAGACCAAGAUGUGUUCUUUUGAUGCUGCAGUAGCCUGGAGAUGGAGACCAAGAUGUGUAUUUUCGAUGCUCCAGUAGCCUGUCGUUUCAUGAUGAACAAGCAAUUUAGUUUGUUUAAGUCAUUUCCUUUCGUGUUGCAGUAAGUGUCCUCUAGAUGUUUCAUAAGAUGCUUCCAUAAUUUGCAACAAUUGUGUUUCAUUGUUGUAAGGUGCUAGAUUGCCGAUCUCCUGAACUCUGAAGGGUCUGAUUGGGACCAUAUUCGCUUGUUUAGUCGGGCCGAUGCCGAGGCUAUUCCAUGAUCAGAUUUACUGCAAGAAGAGCUGAGGAUUUUAUUGCCUGGCAGCCAGAAAAAUCAGGCUUGAUCAGGCUAACUGCAAGAAGUCGCUUGGGCCUUGUUUAGUUCCGAAAAGUGAAAAGUUUUCGGUACUGUAGCACUUUCGUUUGUUUGUGACAAAUAUUAUCCAAUCAUGGACUAACUAGGAUCAAAAGAUUCGUCUCGUGAUUUACAGCUAAACUGUGUAAUUAGUUUUUGUUUUCGUCUAUAUUUAAUGUUUCAUGCAUGUGCCACGAGAUUUGAUGUGACGAGGAAUCUUGAAAACUUUUUGAUUUUCAGGGUGAACUAAACAAGGCCUUGUCUUAUCAGCCGCACGUUUUCUGUCAGCCAACAGUGUUUUUCUCUCACGAUAAAUCAGCGAAUAGUAUUUUCAGCCAUGACUUUUUAGACCAGCGUGACUGAAAAUACUAUUCGUUGAUUUAUCAUAAGAGAAAAAUAUUGUUGGCUGGCAGAAAAAGUGCGGCUGAUAAGACAAGCGACUUCUUGCAGUUAGCCUGAUCCCUAAACCCAGGCAAGGUCCCUAAACCCUGUCAGGAAAAUCUAAGAUGUUCUCCGUUCGCAGCACGUACAUAUUAUUCCACUAAUGGAGCAAACCAGGGCGGAAAGUGCUGCCUUGAGUUCACGACCGGAUGGAGAUAGGAAGCUCUGGAACAACAUUUGGAAUUGCCAGGUUCCCCCAAAAUCAAGAUAUUUAGACCUUGUUUAAUUCGCGAAAAGAAAAAUGUUAUUGGGAGACUGUAGCACCUGUAUAACUAUAGCAAUUAAUGUCUAAUCAUGGAUUAAUUAAACUUAAAAGAUUUGUCUUGUAAAAUAUAUGUAAACUGUACAAUUAGUUGUUUUUUUUAUCUAUAUUUAAUGCUCUAUGUAUAUGUUUAAAUAUUUGAUGGGAUGAAAUGAAAAAUUUUUGAAUGUAAACUAAACAAGACCUCACAUGGAAGUCAAGAUAUUCAGAAGAAGAUUAGAAGUGACACAACACUGUGACCUGUGCAGGGAAGAAAGUGAGGGUCUGUUUAGUUCCCUAUGGAAUACAAAUGGCUAAUUACUUUGGAAUGAUAAAAUAUAAAAUGUUAAAUUUUUUAGAGUUAUGUUUAAUUCUAUAUAAGAGCAAAAUUUAUUUCCUUUAUUAUGGUCUCUUGACGCUUUUUGGGCUUUUUUUACCUCUUUGAGGCUAAAAUCUAAAAUAGAGAAUGACACAACCAAUUUACCCAAAAAAAAUCAUAUAAUGUUUAGUUCCAUUAUACAAAAUGGUAUACCAAAAUCUAGAAUUUUUUGGUAUGAAAAGGGAACAAAACACCCCCAUUCAGCCGCCACGUAGAGCGCGAGUCGGCUUGCCAUGCGACAACACUAGAUAUUGCCAACUUGCCGUUCGAUGAACGAUUUAAGGGGGUGUUUAAUUCUUUUUUCAUCUAAAAAGCUGAUCCAUCAUUUUGUAUAAUGAAACUAAACAUCAUGCAAAAAAUUGGCAAAAUAGUUGUCAUUUUUUAUUUUGGAUUUUGUCUUUAAGAUGGCAAAAAAAAGUCCCAAAUAACCACAAGAGACCAUAAUAAGGACAAUAAUUUCUGUAUUUUAGAUGAAUAUAAUCUUAAAAAAUUUGGCAUUUUGUAUUUCAUUAUUCCAAAGUAGGGCUUAUUUAGUUCCUCAUGGAAUGCAAAAUAUAAAAUAUCAACUACUGUUACGAGUGCUCUAAGCAUAGCUUCACUAGUAUUUUUAUGUGAAAACCAUUUCUAUAGAAAUCCUACUAGGGGUUGUUUAGUUCCCCAUAGAAUCCAAAAUGCAAAAUGCCAACAACUUUGGAGUGAUGAAAUACAAAAAAAAAAUUAGGGUCAUGUUUAAUUCCAUCCAAAAUGUAGAAUUUAUUGUCCUCAUGAGAGCCUUCUGAGACUAUUUUUGAGUUUUUUUUGGCCUCUUGAGGCUAAAAUCCAAAAUGGAGCAUAAUCACCUUUUUGCCAAAAUUUUUGUACGAUGUUUAGUUUCAUUUGGCAAAAUGAUGGAUCAAAACUCAAAAAAAAAAUUUAAAAAGGAGAACUAAACACCCCUAAAUUGGGCCUUAUCGGUCCGGAAGUUCGGAGGUAGCAAAACAGUCCUGGGACCGAGGCCGCGUAACUUGGUCCAACGCACACAGCACGUGUGGGCAAGCUAACCCUUGGCGUGCGACGUCGGCCUGCUAGCCGCAAGCCCACGAGCUCCCCGUACCCAUCUCCAGUCCAUCUCUCCGCGCCUCCUCCAAUCCUCUCUUUUCCAUCCACGCCGCUACGCCCCCCGAUCCAACCCUAACCCCCCUCCGCCUCCUCGCCGGCGCGUCUACCCCGCCUCCACUCCGCGGCUAGUGCUUCUCAUCGGCGUCCCUCCGGUGCGUGCCCCUCGUCGUCCCUCUCACCUUUACACGCCUCCUUCCACUUUUUGCGCGUUAAUUUCACCGUCCGCUCUCUGUCUCUUCGCCUUAGGGCUUCACGCUGGUCCGGGGUGCGGCUCCUGCGAUUCGCGCGCAAUGGAGCAAGAUCAGAGCGCAGCUGUCGGCAGUGCGGACUCUGGUGCCGCGGCUUUUGAUUUUCCGACUGCCAAUCCACCUAGCUCGGCUGUGACCGGCGGAAGCGCCGUGGCCCCCGACGGUGGAGCUCAGGCAGCUGAUGCCUCUGCCUACCAGGCCGAACACGCGGCGUUGAAUGGGACGGCUGGCGAUAUGGCUAAUUACCAAACAGGAGCUGCAGAGAACGGCGAAGCCGUCACCAACGAGAUGGGCGAGCCGGUUCCUGAGCCAUCCUACGAGGAAGGUA
rnacentral:lncRNA from 1 species